rnacentral:rRNA from 1 species
UGCGGAGGCUACCUGCAAGCCGAGCGGUAGAGAUUCUUCGGAAUCUUGAGAGCGGCGUACGGGUGCGGAACACGUGUGCAACCUGCCUUUAUCAGGGAGAUAGCCUUUCGAAAGGAAGAUUAAUACCCCAUAAUAUAUUAAGUGGCAUCACUUGAUAUUGAAAACUACGGUGGAUAGAGAUGGGCACGCGCAAGAUUAGAUAGUUGGUGAGGUAACGGCUCACCAAGUCUACGAUCUUUAGGGGGCCUGAGAGGGUGAUCCCCCACACUGGUACUGAGACACGGACCAGACUCCUACGGGAGGCAGCAGUGAGGAAUAUUGGACAAUGGGUGAAAGCCUGAUCCAGCCAUCCCGCGUGAAGGACGACGGCCCUAUGGGUUGUAAACUUCUUUUGUAUAGGGAUAAACCUAGAUACGUGUAUCUAGCUGAAGGUACUAUACGAAUAAGCACCGGCUAACUCCGUGCCAGCAGCCGCGGUAAUACGGAGGGUGCAAGCGUUAUCCGGAUUUAUUGGGUUUAAAGGGUCCGUAGGCGGAUCUGUAAGUCAGUGGUGAAAUCUCACAGCUUAACUGUGAAACUGCCAUUGAUACUGCAGGUCUUGAGUGUUGUUGAAGUAGCUGGAAUAAGUAGUGUAGCGGUGAAAUGCAUAGAUAUUACUUAGAACACCAAUUGCGAAGGCAGGUUACUAAGCAACAACUGACGCUGAUGGACGAAAGCGUGGGGAGCGAACAGGAUUAGAUACCCUGGUAGUCCACGCCGUAAACGAUGCUAACUCGUUUUUGGAUUUUCGGAUUCAGAGACAAAGCGAAAGUGAUAAGUUAGCCACCUGGGGGAGUACGUUCGCAAGAAUGAAACUCAAAGGAAUUGACGGGGGCCCGCACAAGCGGUGGAUUAUGUGGUUUAAUUCGAUGAUACGCGAGGAACCUUACCAAGGCUUAAAUGGGAAAUGACAGGUUUAGAAAUAGACUUUUUUUCGGACAUUUUUCAAGGUGUUUCAUGGCCGUUCCCAGCUCGUGCCGUGAGGUGUUAGGUUAAGUCCUGCAACGAGCGCAACCCCUGUCACUAGUUGCCAUCAUUAAGUUGGGGACUCUAGUGAGACUGCCUACGCAAGUAGAGAGGAAGGUGGGGAUGACGUCAAAUCAUCACGGCCCUUACGCCUUGGGCCACACACGUAAUACAAUGGCCAGUACAGAGGGCAGCUACACAGCGAUGUGAUGCAAAUCUCGAAAGCUGGUCUCAGUUCGGAUUGGAGUCUGCAACUCGACUCUAUGAAGCUGGAAUCGCUAGUAAUCGCGCAUCAGCCAUGGCGCGGUGAAUACGUUCCCGGGCCUUGUACACACCGCCCGUCAAGCCAUGGAAGUCUGGGGUACCUGAAGUCGGUGACCGUAACAGGAGCUUCCUUUU